rnacentral:rRNA from 1 species
AUUGAACGCUGGCGGCAGGCCUAACACAUGCAAGUCGAGCGGGGUUUUCGGACCUAGCGGCGGACGGGUGAGUAAUGCGUAGGAAGCUGCCCGAUAGAGGGGGAUACCAGUUGGAAACGACUGUUAAUACCGCAUAAUGUCUACGGACCAAAGUGUGGGACCUUCGGGCCACAUGCUAUCGGAUGCGCCUACGUGGGAUUAGCUAGUUGGUGAGGUAAUGGCUCACCAAGGCGACGAUCUCUAGCUGGUUUGAGAGGAUGAUCAGCCACACUGGGACUGAGACACGGUCCAGACUACUACGGGAGGCAGCAGUGGGGAAUAUUGGACAAUGGGCGCAAGCCUGAUCCAGCCAUGCCGCGUGUGUGAAGAAGGCCUUCGGGUUGUAAAGCACUUUCAGCGAGGAGGAAGGGGUGUGUGUUAAUAGUACACACCUUUGACGUUACUCGCAGAAGAAGCACCGGCUAACUCUGUGCCAGCCGCCGCGGUAAGAC